rnacentral:rRNA from 1 species
CAAGUCGAGCGGGAUAAUCAGGGUAGCAAUAUUCUGGUUGUUCAGCGGCGCAAGGGUGCGUAACACGUGGGUAAUUUGCCAUGAAGUCUGGAAUAACUUGCUGAAAGGCGAGCUAAUGCCGGAUGUGACUUCCGAAGGGCAUCUUUUGGAAUUCAAAGUUGGGGACCGUAAGGCCUGACGCUUCUUGAUAAGCCCGCGGUCUAUCAGCUAGUUGGUGAGGUAACGGCUCACCAAGGCUAAGACGGAUAGCUGGUCUGAGAGGACGACCAGCCACACUGGAACUGAGACACGGUCCAGACACCUACGGGUGGCAGCAGUCGAGAAUUUUUCACAAUGGGCGAAAGCCUGAUGGAGCGACGCCGCGUGGGGGAUGAAUGGCUUCGGCCCGUAAACCCCUGUCAUUUGCGAACAAACCUUACCGGUUAACAACCGGUGAGCUGAUUGUAGCGGAAGAGGAAGGGACGGCUAACUCUGUGCCAGCAGCCGCGGUAAUACAGAGGUCCCGAGCGUUGUUCGGAUUCACUGGGCGUAAAGGGUGCGUAGGUGGUGAGGUAAGUCGGAUGUGAAAUCUCCGGGCUCAACCCGGAAAUGGCAUUGGAAACUACCUUGCUAGAGGAUUUGAGGGGGGAUUGGAAUACUUGGUGUAGCAGUGAAAUGCGUAGAUAUCAAGUGGAACACCAGUGGCGAAGGCGAAUCCCUGGAAAAUACCUGACACUGAGGCACGAAAGCUAGGGGAGCAAACAGGAUUAGAUACCCUGGUAGUCCUAGCCCUAAACGGUGCUUGCUUGCUGUAAGAGGAAUC